GGCUCAGGAUGAAUGCUGGCGGCGUGCCUAAUACAUGCAAGUCGAGCGGCAACAUGGGUUCAUCCUGUCUGAAGUUUCUUCGAGAACAGAAUGAAACCUGAUGGCGAGCGGCGGACGGCUGAGUAACGCAUGGGAACGCACCCAAACUGAGGGAUAACUAGUCGAAAGAUUAGCUAAUACCGCAUGUGAUCUUCGGAUUAAAGCUUUCGCGGUUUGGGAGCGGCCUGUGUACGAUUAGAUAGUUGGUGAGGUAAUGGCUCACCAAGUCGACGAUCGUUAGAUGGUUUGAGAGGAUGAUCAUCCAGACUGGGACUGAGACACGGCCCAGACUCCUACGGGAGGCAGCAGUAGGGAAUCUUUCACAAUGGGCGAAAGCCUGAUGGAAGCAACGCCGCGUGCAGGAUGAAGGCCUUCGGGUUGUAAACUGCUUUUAUAAGCGAGGAAUAUGACGGUAACUUAUGAAUAAGGAUCGGCUAACUACGUGCCAGCAGCCGC
rnacentral:rRNA from 1 species